rfam:Streptomyces sp. SPB74 genomic scaffold supercont3.1, whole genome shotgun sequence.
CGCUCAUCCAGAGGGGCAGAGGGAAACGGCCCGUUGAAGCCCCGGCAACCCUCCAGCCAGUCUCCGCGCGGUUCACCGAUACCGCCACCGAAGGCCCUGGCUCGGGAAGGUGCCAAUUCCGUCUCGCGGUGAGAUGCGCCGCGAGGAAGAUGAGGA